GGGGGGUGCGAAGGCGAGAGAAAGAGAGCGAGGAAAAAUGGAAGGGGCGAGAAGAAAAUAGCUAUUUCUUUCUCGCCCUUCCCAUUUUUCCUCGCUCUCUUUCUCUCGCCUUCCCAUCCCCCCCC